GACGAACGCUGGCGGCGUGCUUAACACAUGCAAGUCGAGCGGUAAGGCCUCUUCGGGGGUACACGAGCGGCGAACGGGUGAGUAACACGUGGGUGACCUGCCCUCAGCUCUGGGAUAAGCCUGUGAAACUGGGUCUAAUACCGGAUAUGACCUUUCCUCGCAUGGGGUUUGGUGGAAAGUUUUUUCGGCUGGGGAUGGGCCCGCGGCCUAUCAGCUUGUUGGUGGGGUGAUGGCCUACCAAGGCGACGACGGGUAGCCGGCCUGAGAGGGCGACCGGCCACACUGGGACUGAGACACGGCACAGACUCCUACGGGAGGCAGCAGUGGGGAAUAUUGCGCAAUGGGCGGAAGCCUGACGCAGCGACGCCGCGUGGGGGAUGACGGCCUUCGGGUUGUAAACCUCUUUCGACCCCGACGAAUUUGGACGGUAGGGAUAGAAGAAGCACCGGCCAACUACGUG
rnacentral:rRNA from 1 species